UAAGGAAUAUUGGUCAAUGGAGGCAACUCUGAACCAGCCAUGCCGCGUGCAGGAUGACGGCCCUAUGGGUUGUAAACUGCUUUUAUACAAGAGAAAACCCUGGUACGUGUACCAGGUUGAUAGUAUUGUAAGAAUAAGCAUCGGCUAACUUCGUGCCAGCAGCCGCGGUAAGACGAAGGAUGCAAGCGUUAUCCGGAUUCAUUGGGUUUAAAGGGUGCGUAGGCGGACUGAUAAGUCAGUGGUGAAAUCUCUUUGCUUAACAAAGAAACUGCCAUUGAUACUGUCGGUCUAGAGUAUAGAUGACGUUGGCGGAAUAUGACAUGUAGUGGUGAAAUACUUAGAUAUGUCAUAGAACACCGAUUGCGAAGGCAGCUAACGAAACUAUAACUGACGCUGAGGC
rnacentral:rRNA from 1 species